rnacentral:rRNA from 1 species
UACGGAGGAUCCAAGCGUUAUCCGGAUUUAUUGGGUUUAAAGGGUGCGUAGGUGGCUUUUUAAGUCAGGGGUGAAAGACGGUAGCUUAACUAUCGCAGUGCCUUUGAUACUGAAGAGCUUGAAUGAACUAGAGGUAGGCGGAAUGUGACAAGUAGCGGUGAAAUGCAUAGAUAUGUCACAGAACACCAAUUGCGAAGGCAGCUUACUAUGGUUAGAUUGACACUGAGGCACGAAAGCGUGGGGGAUCAAAACAGG